rnacentral:lncRNA from 1 species
GAAAUUUUUAUUUAACAAAUUAAAAAUAUUCAUACAAAAGAUCAACAGUCGCUAAUUAAUUCAUUAACCGGGAUUCAAUCAUUAACUCAUUAAUUCGUUUUAUUUUUAUUGCACUAACGAUUUAGAUUUCUCUUUCCAUUAUUUCAAUAUUUCCUCACGGCAUUUCAAACAUGGUGAAUAUAAGACAAGAGAUCAUGUGACAGGCUAUGGGCUGGUUCUCAUCAUUUCUUAUUGACACACACACACACACACAUAUAUACAUGUGUGCAUAUAUAUAUAAGUACAAGGCCAUAUAUAUAUAUAUAUAUGUGUGUGUAUAUAUAUAUUUAAGUACAAGGCCAUAUAUAUAUGUGUGUAUAUAUAUAUUUAAGUAGAAGGCUAUAUAUAUAUAAGUACAAGGCCAUAUAUAUAUAUAUAUGUGUAUAUAUAUAUUUAAGUACAAGGCUAUAUAUAUAUAUAUGUGUAUAUAUAUAUUUAAGUACAAGGCUAUAUAUAUAUAUAUAUAUGUGUAUAUAUAUAUUUAAGUACAAGGCUAUAUAUA